rnacentral:misc_RNA from 1 species
GAUGAAGAACGUAGCGAAAUGCGAUAAGUAGUGUGAAUUGCAGAAUUCAGUGAAUCAUCGAAUCUUUGAACGCACAUUGCGCCCCUUGGUAUUCCAUGGGGCAUGCCUGUUCGAGCGUCAUUUGUACCUUCAAGCUCUGCUUGGUGUUGGGUGUUUGUCCUUGCUCUAGUGGCGGGGCUCGCCUUAAAGUAAUUGGCAGCCAGUGUUUUGGUUUUGAAGCGCAGCACAAGUCGCGAUUCAAGUCUAUACGCUAGUUUCCACAAGUCUUUUAUCACUUUUGACCUCGGAUCAGGUAGGGAUACCCGCUGAACUUAAGCAUAUCAAUAAGCGGAGGA